rnacentral:lncRNA from 1 species
AACAAGAUGAUGCAGUUGCCAAAAUUAAAAAUAAUCAACAAUAAUAGACCAUCAGUAGCUAAAUUUGGGCAGAGAUAUAAGAAUAAAGGUGGCCGAGUUUGAACCCUCCGGCCAGAUCUAAAACAAAAAUAAAUAAAAAAUAAACCAUUUGAAAUACAACUAAACACAUCAACAAGAACACACACAAAAAAAAGUAAAGUAUCAUUAAUUUUAGUUAAUUUGGAAGUGAAACCUCACCUCGCCGGAAAUGGAGUUCCAUUUUGAUUGUUGGAUUUUCAUUUUUUUCCGGUGGUUGGAGAUUUGAGCUAUGUUGCCGGAAAGAGGCUGUUCGGAGCUGUCUUUUACCGAAGUUUGCGGCUGUUUACUGGUUGUUGUGGCGAGCCUCGAGAAUACCUGCAAAAAUCAAACAGCAAAUCGGAAAGGGGAAAGGGGAAAUGAACUAGCGGUUUUCUUCUUCUUUGCUCCGAUGGCGAUUUGUGUCGGUUUUCAGCUGUUGUUUCAGCGAGCUUUGGAAGUUGUUUCCGACGGAUGGUGGGUUCGUUUUUGGAGCUUGGUGUGUGGAGCAAUGGUGAUUUGUAGUGGGGUUUUGGGUUGAUUGUUGGUGGCUACUGGUGGAGUUGUGCUGGUUUGGAGGUCGUUUUCGUGGUGGUUCGAUGGAUGGCUGGUUGAAGUUGGCCGGAAAUGGAGUUUGGGUGGUGAUGAGGAAGGUGGGUGGCGGCUUCUUUGAGAAGAGGAUAGAAAAAAUUCUUAGGGUUUUUACCCUAUCUUGAAACAUAUUUCCACCACCACCUUAACCUAAUAGGCAAAUUUUUCUUUAUAUAGGGAGUUGAAAACUACAAUAUCACUAUUUUAAAAUCGUGGGCAAAAAUCACCUGUCAAUAAAAUAUUAUCUGUAUUCGAAUGAAUUUUUAGGCUGUGCAGAAUAUCAAAAUGAAUAUUAGCGAAUGUAAC